rnacentral:rRNA from 1 species
UACGUAGGGUGCGAGCGUUGUUCGGAAUCACUGGGCGUAAAGCGCGUGUAGGCGGUUUGAUAAGUCGAAUGUGAAAGCCCGAGGCUCAACCUCGGAAGUGCAUUCGAAACUGUCAGGCUUGAGUACGGGAGAGGGAAGUGGAAUUCCUGGUGUAGAGGUGAAAUUCGUAGAUAUCAGGAGGAACACCGGUGGCGAAGGCGGCUUCCUGGACCGAUACUGACGCUGAGACGCGAAAGCGUGGGGAGCAAACAGG